rnacentral:sRNA from 1 species
GCUGGGUGCAGUGGCGUACACCUGUAAUCCCAGCGGCUCUGGAGGCUAAGACAGGAGGAUAACUAGUUCAAAGCCAGCCUCAGCAAAAGUGAGGUACUAAGCAACUUGGUGAGAUCUGUCUCUA